rnacentral:rRNA from 1 species
UCCUGCAACCAUUGUCCCUUAUGCUAUAAGCAUGGGCUAAGCAGGGAAAAAGAAGUGUCAUACUUGGAUGGGAGACCUUUAAGGAACUACUAGGUGCUGCAGGAA